rnacentral:rRNA from 1 species
UACGUAGGGUGCGAGCGUUGUCCGGAUUUAUUGGGCGUAAAGGGCUCGUAGGCGGCGUGUCGCGUCGGGAGUGAAAGACCGGGGCUUAACCCCGGUUCUGCUUCCGGUACGGGCAUGCUGGAGUGUGGCAGGGGAGACUGGAAGUUCCUGGUGUGGCGGUGGAAUGCGCAGAUAUCAGGAGGAACACCGGUGGCGAAGGCGGGCCUCUGGGCCAUUACUGACGCUGAGGAGCGAAAGCGUGGGGAGCGAACAGG